AAAACAUCGCCUUUUGAGCCCUAUAAGAGGUAUUGCCUGCCCAGUGACUAUAUGUUUAACGGCCGUGGUAUUUUGACCACGCAAAGGUAGCGUAAUCACUUGUUUUUUAAAUAAAGACUAGUAUGAAUGGCUUCACGAGAACUCAGCUGUCUCCUUUGUUUAAUCAGUGAAACUGAUCCCCUCGUGCAGAAGCGAGGAUAAUAUCAUAAGACGAGAAGACCCUAUGGAGCUUUAAACCCAAAUCAACAAGUUACUUUCCUUUAGAACUUAAUAUUAAUUUAACUUGCUCGACUAAGGUUUUAGGUUGGGGCGACCAUGGAGAAAAAACAAUCCUCCACGAUGAUUUUUAACUAAGAGCCACAGCUCUAAGUAUUAAGACACUUAACUUACAUUGACCCAUUUUUUGAUCAACGAACCAAGUUACCCUAGGGAUAACAGCGCAAUCCAUUUUAAGAGUCCCUAUCGACAAAUGGGUUUACGACCUCGAUGUUGGAUCAGGGCACCCCAGUGGUGCAACCGCUACUAAAGGUUCGUUUGUUCAACGAUUAAAGCCCUAC
rnacentral:rRNA from 1 species